rnacentral:rRNA from 1 species
CCGUGAGGUGUCCUGUUAAGUCAGGUAACGAGCGAGAUCCCUGCCCUUAGUUGCUGCAGUUACUCUCAGGAGUAGCUGGGCUAACUAAGGGGACCGCCACUGCUGAAGUGGAGGAAGGAGGGGGCCACGGCAGGUCAGUAUGCCCCGAAACCCUGGGGCUACACGCGGGCUGCAAUGAUAGAGACAACGGGUUCCGAACUCGAAAGAGGGAGGCAAUCCUUAAACUCUAUCUCAGUUAUGAUUGAGGGCUGCAACUCGCCCUCAUGAAUAUGGANNNNNNNNNNAUCACCGCGCAGUGAAUACGUCCCUGCUCCUUGCACACACCGCCCGUCGCUUCAUUGAAGUUGGGUUUGUGCGAGGUGACGCCUAAUUGACGUCAUCGAACACGAGUUUAGCAACAAGGGAGAAGUCGUAACAAGGUGACCGUAGGGGAACCUGCGGUCGGAUCACCUCCU